rnacentral:rRNA from 1 species
GGCUCAGAACGAACGCUGGCGGCAUGCCUAACACAUGCAAGUCGAACGAAGGCUUCGGCAUUAGUGGCGCACGGGUGCGUAACGCGUGGGAAUCUGCCCUCAGGUACGGAAUAACUCAGGGAAACUUGAGCUAAUACCGUAUAAUGACUUCGGUCCAAAGAUUUAUCGCCUGAGGAUGAGCCCGCGUCGGAUUAGCUAGUUGGUAGAGUAAAAGCCUACCAAGGCGAGGAUACAGUAGCUGGUCUGAGAGGAUGAUCAGCCACACUGGGAUUGUUUCCUCGGCCCAUGAACAUACGGGAGGC